CCUACGGGUGGCAGCAGUGAGGAAUAUUGGUCAAUGGACGGAACUCUGAACCAGCCAUGCCGCGUGCAGGAAGACGGCUCUCUGAGCUGUAAACUGUGUUUGUACAAGGGUAAACCUGAAUACGUGUAUUCAGCUGAAAGUAUUGUACGAAUAAGGAUCGGCUGACUCUGUGCCAGCAGCCGCGGUAUACGGAGGAUCCAAGCGUUAUCCGGAUUUAUUGGGUUUAAAGGGUGCGUAGGCGGAGUGAUAAGUUAGAGGUGAAAUGUCCGAGCUUAACUCGGGAACUGCCUCUAAUACUGUUGAUCUAGAGAGUAGGUGCGGUAGGCGGAAUGUAUGGUGUAGCGGUGAAAUGCGUAGAGAUCAGACAGAACACCGAUUGCGAAGGCAGCUUACCAAUCUAUAUCUGACGUUGAGGCACGAAAGCGUGGGGAGCAAACAGGAUUAGAUACCCGUGUAGUC
rnacentral:rRNA from 1 species